ensembl:snoRNA SNORD33 Small nucleolar RNA Z195/SNORD33/SNORD32 family
GUUGUCAGUGAUGUUCCACAUUACCUACAUUGCUUGAGUUUAACUACCAUGAGAAAACUUCAUGCACUACCAUCUGAGACAGC